rnacentral:tRNA from 1 species
UCGGGGAUCGUCUAGUGGUAGGACUUCAGACUCUGAAUCUGACUACGGGGGUUCGAAUCCCUCUCCCCGAGCCA